CAGUAGCCGCGGUAAUACGAAGGGGGCUAGCGUUGUUCGGAUUUACUGGGCGUAAAGGGUGCGUAGGCGGAUUGUUAAGUCAGGGGUGAAAUGCCGGGGCUCAACCUCGGAACUGCCUUUGAUACUGGCGAUCUUGAGUCCGGGAGAGGUGAGUGGAACUGCGAGUGUAGAGGUGAAAUUCGUAGAUAUUCGCAAGAACACCAGUGGCGAAGGCGGCUCACUGGCCCGGAACUGACGCUGAGGCACGACAGCGUGGGGAGCAAACAGGAUUAGAUACCCCUGUAGUCCCUGUCUCUUAUAC
rnacentral:rRNA from 1 species